rnacentral:rRNA from 1 species
UACACUCCUGCGGGAGGCAGCAGUGGGGAAUUUUGGACAAUGGGCGAAAGCCUGAUCCAGCCAUGCCGCGUGCAGGAUGAAGGCCUUCGGGUUGUAAACUGCUUUUGUACGGAACGAAACGGCCUUUUCUAAUAAAGAGGGCUAAUGACGGUACCGUAAGAAUAAGCACCGGCUAACUACGUGCCAGCAGCCGCGGUAAUACGUAGGGUGCAAGCGUUAAUCGGAAUUACUGGGCGUAAAGCGUGCGCAGGCGGUUAUGUAAGACAGUUGUGAAAUCCCCGGGCUCAACCUGGGAACUGCAUCUGUGACUGCAUAGCUAGAGUACGGUAGAGGGGGAUGGAAUUCCGCGUGUAGCAAUGAAAUGCGUAGAUAUGCGGAGGAACACCGAUGGCGAAGGCAAUCCCCUGGACCUGUACUGACGCUCAUGCACGAAAGCGUGGGGAGCAAACAGGAUUAGAAACCCUAGUAGUCCCAUG